rnacentral:lncRNA from 1 species
GCCCAACAACCUCGAGUUGCCACCGGAUACUAUGUACGGCGGACAUAAUUGGACAGUGUCCGAACGUGUUAAGAGCACCAGGUGGUUGCAACAACCCGUGCACCGUUUUUCAGACGAACCAGUACUGUUGUACGAAUGGGCAAGGAUCAUGUAGCGACACAGAAUAUUCAAGGUUCUUCAAACAGAGGUGUCCGGAUGCCUACAGUUAUCCACAAGACGACCCGCCCAGCACUUUCACUUGCACUAACACUAACUACAGGGUCGUGUUUUGUCCUAGGAUUAGACUCGAUACUACUGGGAGCAUAUAUAUAUUAAGAGACUCGUCUCUAUUGUAUGUGAUGUGUGUAUGAGCGUGUACUAGUGUGUACGUAGUAACGUAGAUAUAUAUGCGUACGCGUGUGAUAAUGUUUACGUGACUAUCAAACUUGAUGGAUAAUAAUGAAUGCAAGAAUAAGUUGGACUUUUGCUAACGGUUAAUUAGGGAUAAAACUCUCAGUUUGAUUAGGAUUUUAAAUGGCAGUAGCUUUUAGUUUUUGUUGUAGGAUUUUAAAUAUUAAAACUCGAGUAAUAGAGAUGUUUUUUGGUGUAGAGAGUAAAAAUUUGAUUGAUCAAACUAGCAUAACAUUAGCAAAAAACGUUAAAUCAAUAAGAAAUUAUUUUUUUUUCCAGAUUUUUUUGUUUGGUGUAGAGAUAGUAAAGAAUAGAUAGAACAAGCUAGCAAAAUAUUAGCGAAAAAUGCUCUAAAGAUAAGACAAACUUCUUUUUAAUUUCUUACUAUGUUUCUCGAAGUUAAUAUGAAGUUGUUUUUCCAAUCCUCUUUUUCCGAAAUGAAAUCUUUACAAUUUUUGUCUUUUUGGGUAGAGAUUGUUAAGAUAUCAGCAAAAUGAAGUUAAAAAGAAGAAUUUUCGGAUUACCAAUAAUAGCUUUUGUUUGAGAUUUAAAGAUAACAUCUCAAUUUUUGUUAGGUAGAAUUUGCAUGGAAGCCUAAUGAGCUCAUUAAUUAGGUGUGCUCUCUCCCUUGUCGUGAAUGUGAAUAUGUGAUUGGUGUCAGAUUGCGAGUAGAUUCAAUUCGUGCGAAGGUAUACGAAAAUAUACAUAGAUAAAAAAAUCCCUACUUUAAUAAUGGAGUUGAUUGACUAAGGUAUACGAAAAUAUACAUAGUAAAAAAAAUCCCUACUUUAAUAAUGGAGUUGAUUGACUAAUAAUAGAUUCUUACUCGGUUCAAUUUUUUAUUGCGUGCGAAAAACUAUGUAGACCGAUUCGUGCAGCUAGGAGAAAAACCCGUUGAGUAAAACUAAUUAUUUUGGCGUCGUUAUCGCUGUAGAUUUGUAGAACCUUAGACGUCUUUGACUUGAGUUUAACUUUUUUGAUAUGCAUGAUUGCAUGGGUCUCCAAAUAAUCAAUCAAAAACUAGGCAUAUAAGCAUAAUUCCAUUAUAUAACAAACACAUUUUUAAAAAUCACAGAAGUACAGUUGUAUGGUAUAAACUUGAAUUUUUGAAAGCAUUUAUGAAAAAAAAAGAGAGAUAUAAAGCUGGAAAGUAGAAGAGCGUUUUCUCAUUCUUCAAAAACGUUAAUACAUUUCCAUAUAUACAUGUGCUAAACUGUUAAACCUAGUUAUACAAGAUAACUAAAUUUAUGCAUAAUUAAUAGCCCAAUAAAAUAUUGUAUGGCCCAAUAUUAUGAUACUCUACCCCUUUACAAGUUGGAGCAUGCAUGUAGAUUAAAUAUGUCCAACUUGCAUAGAAACCAAUCAAAUUCCUAGCCCAAUUAAUGUUUUGAGAAUAUAUCAGCUAAAUGAAGAAGAGAGGGAACAAUAAUUACCUAAUACACUUUUACUAUAUAAGAUCAUAUCACUGAAAGCUAUCAAGGAGACAAUACCACCAAUUUCCAAGUAAACAAACUGACAAGAACUGUAGUAUAGUUGAAGUAAGCGAGAAGUUCAUAUACCCGCUUCCAACCUGAAUGGAUAAUAUGUGAUUAUAUCACAUUUCAAUAAUCUAGAUUUAAAUUAUCUAUAAGAUUUUAAAAUGUAAAAUUGAUUUUUGGUCCAAUUUUAUUAUUCAUUGUUAUACUAAAUCUAAAACUUGAUCCAAGUCUAGAGUCUCUGUAAAAGCAUCCUAUAAUCUCAUCAUCCUUUUAGUUAAUGUGUUAUUCAUAUAUAGUUUUUCAUAGUUUGAAGGUGAAUUUUACUUUCUUUAGUUUCUUUUUUCUUAUAGAUAUUAUAGUAUUGGAAUAGUCCUAAGCAUAUUUUCAUUCUUUACGACAACAAAAUCAGGUAUUUCCAUGAUUAAACAAUUUCUGAAAAUAUGACUGAUUGAAAAAGACAUGCGCCAAAAUUUAGUUUAUGAUUAUUUGUAUUGAAAAUCAAAAUGAAAACAAAUUUUAAAAAACCAAAUUUGGAUCUAUGAAAUUAUUUGAAAAUACCAUGAAAUUUGUUUAAGGGAUAAAUUCCAAAUAUUCAUUCAUCCAACUUGUUAUUAAUGAACUCGGUUACCCAAAAAUUCCGAUGCACAUAUAAGAUGAAUCAUAGAUCGGAUACUUCGAAUAAUUAAGUAAGCAUAUCCCUAAAAUGUUAAGUAAGACAAAUUAACUAUAUCCUACUCUCAAAUAUUGGAAAAUUGGUACUCCUGGUCUCCGUAGCGAAUGCGAAUGAUGCUCAAUUGCUCAUCCAAAUUGAUAAAUUAAAAAAAUUGAAAUGCAACAAACGGUUGAUCGCAGUGCUAUUGUAAUUGGAGAUGGUCUUCAUUAGGUGCAUGAUGUGCCUUUGCUACACUAAUUCGAUUAUGGUCCAUGGCGAGAUAUUUUUGGAUGCUUUGACAACUUUGUGAAAAUUUGUCGUCUAUCAUUGUUUUGCUAUUUAUUUAAGUCAUUGCCUUUGUGAAGUCAAGUCUUCGUUUCUCAUUAAUCAUCAUGAGAUCCAUGAACCUAGCUUUUCCACUUGUUUGAAUCAGACAAAAGCUAAGCAAAAACAAGUUGGGUUAGGAUAAAAUAAGGGUUUUGUCUGGGAGACUUGUAAAGGGGAAGCAGUCCGACGUAGGAAGAAAUCCUCUGUCAUUUUAGGGUUUAGUCGAAGAAAAAUAACUAAAUAUAUAGUUUCCAAUGAUUGAAUUAUGUUUUUAAUGGCAUUUUUGUAGUUUAAAAAAGACUAGGCUUUGUUCAGAGUUUUUCUACUGGGGUUUUAAAUAAGAUUGUUUCAAAUUCUAUGUGAAUACCCUCAGAUGCAAUAGAUUAUAAACCUAUUAACAAUUUUAGCAAUAGAUUUUCUUUUUUCUUAAGGUCAACUUGGUAAGUCAAUACAGAGAAAAAAGAAAAGAAAUGAGACAAAUAUGGAAAUGAGGAGUAAGGAAAAUAGAAAAAUUCAUUAAAAAAAAAUUAGAAGUCUAAAACAUGAAAAAGUACCAUCGAGUCUAAUUAUAUGGGAUAUUUGAUCAAGUCUAAACCACUAGAUUACACUAAUUUGAAAAAUCUUAGGUAAACCAUUUAUUAACUCCAAUUUUAUUUUUCUGGUACCACAAACAAUUACAUCCUCAAAACUGUAUGAAAUUCGAUUACUUGUUUGCCAAGAAUAUAUAUUAAAAAGUAGACAUGUAAUAAAGAUUUUGGUCACCCAACUUGGAGGCAAAAGCCUACCAGUAAGUUGUAACAGUUAAGGAGUUAUGUAUUGGUUAAUUUGUUACUUUUUAAUUAAUAUUUUGCAUUUUUGAAGUUACGUAAUAAUAAAUGCUAUUUCGCUUUUUUCAUUAAAAAAAACAAUGGAUGGGACGACAGGCGACUUGACUAUGUUACUAACGGAAAGUCUUGUUUCUAGAUAUGUACUAUGUAGACAUUAUAAUGUUAACGUAAGAAAAAAUUAAGUACGUAUAGGGGGACUUAAGAAGAAUAUAGAAAUGUGUGUACAUUUUUUCCUUUUCUGCUAACAAAGAAGUUACAUAUCUAUACAUAAGCUUCAUUAUUGUGAAAGCUUUUUUGGCCUAAUGGAGUUUAUUAAUGUUUUUAAGUUUCCAAACUAAAUAAAUAUGAUUUAUUAUCAGUUCUGCAGAUUAAUGGAGAAAAACGUAUGAAAAAACUUCAAUAUGGUGUAAGUGGAACUAUUUAGCGUAGAGGUUCAUAAUCAUCAGUAUAGCAAUUCUCGUUAUAAUAAUAAGAUAAUAAUUUAAUGAUAAAAAAGCUCUUAUUAUUUUAUUUUAUUUUUAUUUUUAGUACAACUCCUAUUAUUUUUUGUUUGGGAUCAGCCUCUAAUAGUACUCUUUGGAGGUAAAUCAUCAUUUACAAAACAGAUCGAACUUAAUAGGGAAACAAAGUUGAAAUUUCUUUGGAAGGACGAAUUUACUGCCACUAGCCGACUUCCUAGUUGGUGAAGACUAAAGACUAGGUGUGAACAUUUAAAGGCCCACAUUUAAAUGAAUUAUGUGAUAUAAUUUCAAAGACGACCCAAAGAAUUAUGCCUUUCAAGUUUCAACUAUUACUUAGCAAAUAUACAAAUGAUGUACAACUUGAAUGUCCACAUCCAUUUAGGCAGACGUCAGUACGAACAGAUUUUGUGGCAAUCCAGAUUUACCAAUAAAAAUAUCUCCAGUUCUUCAUAGUACAUAUCUAGAAACAAGACUUUUCGUUAGUAACAUAGUCAAGUCGCCCCAUCCAUUCUUUAACCAAAAAAAGUCGCCCCAUCUAUCAUUUUAUAUUUAUAAAAAUGAUUAAAGCAAAAUAACAUUUAUUAUCAUAUAACUUCAAUCAUUCAAACUACUAAUAAAAAAAUAAAACAAACUUACCAAUACAUAACUCAUAAAAAGGAACCGUUUUUUUCUCCUAACAAACAUAUUGUUUUUUUUACAAAAAAACCUUUUUUAAAAAAGAUUUAGAACUGUCUCUUUUUCGGUUGAUUAAAUCAUCUGAAAAUUUACUAUUUGCAAUAAAAGUGAGGGAAAAAGAAUUCUAUUCACUUUGUUGAAGGAAAAUAAUCCUCUACUAGAUCAUAUUCUUGUAAUUAAUUGUAGAGGAACAUGUGGAGUAAAGAAAAUCGUCUCGUAGAAGUACUAGAACUAUCAUAAACAUUUAAAAAUAUAAUGGACUCUGACAUUCGUUUACAGAAUGGAAAACUUUGGUCAUAAAAUAGCCUUUAAUUAUUAAACACUGAUUACGUGGAUUAAAUAACGGUAAAUAACUAAAAAAAGAAAGAAAAAAAGAGGAGGGACUUAAAGAAAAAUGAGUGUAGUCACUAGUCAGAAAGAAAUUAUACUUCAGUCAUUUGAUGAUAUAUCUAGUAAAUAUAAUCAAAUUAUGUAAAUUUUAAUAGGGUGGUACGCCAGGACCGCCAUUGGCUACCUCUAUAUAAAGCUAUAGUGUAUGUUUACAAAAGAUCACACACACAAGUAGUAAAACAAAACAAAAAAUGGCAAACAUUAUCUCACUCUCGGCGUUCAUCAUCUCCAUCUUUUUCCUCAUCUCCACCGCUAAAGCCGUCAGAUUCGACAUCCUGAACCAAUGUGGUUACACCGUUUGGGCCGCCGCCAGCCCUGGAGGUGGCCGGCGUCUAGAUCCUGGCCAGUCAUGGCCACUAGAUGUUGCGGCUGGCACACGUAUGGCACGUAUUUGGGGUCGGACAAAAUGUAAUUUUGACUCUUCGGGACGUGGCCGAUGCGAAACCGGUGAUUGCACUGGUGGACUUCAAUGCACCGGUUGGGGCCAGCCACCAAACACGUUGGCUGAGUACGCUUUGAACCAAUUUAACAACAUGGACUUCUACGACAUCUCACUUGUUGAUGGAUUUAACAUCCCUAUGGAAUUUAGGUAAGAAUAUUAUCAUAAAUUUUUCAUAAUUUGUUUUACAAUUUUUUCUUUUAAGUUAAGCUGUUAUAAAUUCGAAUUUUACCUGACGAACAUUCUUUAAACGUAAACGUAAAAAUCUGAAUACCGAGACUUUAGCCUAAAUAUCCCCAUGGAAGUUUAAGUCGCAAGAUCUCAAAAUUUUAAAAAAUCGACGCGGCCAAGGGGAAAAGUCAGGACGCUUAGAAGUAACAAGAUUUUUUUUUUUUCCUUGUUUAAGUUUGAAGUGAAGUUCAAUUAUAAUUUUCACUGUUUCUAAUUUAACGAUUAAACAGUAAAUGUGUACGAGAAGAUAAAAAGAUCUUCAAAAUAACUAAAAAUGUAAAAAAAAACUAUAAAGAAAUUUGGUAAAUAGAAAAAAAAAUAGUAAAAAAACUUAAAGAAAAUAUUACAUAGUCAUUUUUAUUUCUUUAUUUUUGAAUUUAGUUCUUGCGAUAAUAAUUUGCCUUUCUUUUUAUCAAUCUUCGCUCAACCAGCUCGAAUUGCAAGCGGAUACUAUGUAACGCGGACAUAAACGGACAGUGUCCAAACGAGUUGAGAGCCACAGGAGGUUGCAACAACCCCUGCACAGUGUUCAAGACGAACCAAUACUGUUGUACGAACGGGCAGGGAUCAUGUGGCGCCACUGAGUUCUCAAGGUUCUUCAAACAGAGGUGUCCAGACGCCUACAGCUAUCCACAAGACGACCCGUCCAGCACUUUCACUUGCACUAACACUAACUACCGGGUCGUGUUUUGUCCUAGAUAGGUGCUAGGGCCUAGACUAUCUCAACACCAGUGUGUACGUAGGUAUGCACGUACGUGUAACGUGUGUAUUAAAUAAUUGAGAGACUAUCAACGCGUAAUGGAUAAUAAUGAAGGCAAUAAUAAUUACGUAUGUAUCCUUUAUACAGAAAAAAGAAGAAAGAAUAAUAACAAUUACGUAUAAGUUGAAUUCGUUUCUGUAUUUCCAUUUCUUCCGGUACACAUGUUAAAAUAUCUCUUCAUCUCUAUUGUCUGUUUGUGUGUAUGUGUGUCUACGUGUGUGAUCAUAUUUACGUGACUAUUAAGUUUCAACGCGUAUAAUAACGAACGCUAUAUUUGUUUUCUUUUCUUUUUUUCAGAAAGGGUUUAAAGGCAAUAAUGUUUACGUAUAAGUUGAACUCGUUUCUCUUCUUUCCGGUCAAAAAAAUUAUAAAGAAGAAAAAUCUCGGUAUAACUAGAAUUUGAAUAUAUA